GCUUCAUGUCUUGUUGAAUUGUCCAGAAGUCCAACCCUUCUUAGAUUAUUUUGUGAGCCAAUAUGGUCAUGAUCAAGUGUUUCCAUCAUUUAUAACGUGGUAUACUAAUUGGGUCUACAAUUCAGAAAAUGCCGCCACAUUUGAUCAAUUUUUCAAGGAUAUUUCUUGGGGACCGAUUACAGUUCACACAAUGUCCCAAUAUAACGUAAAUGGUUUUAAAUUUGCCACAGAGAAAUACUCAAAGAAUAAGAAAACUAAUAAUAGU